GCGUUCCAUUUGCGGAGAAGCCAUAUCGUAAGGAGUGGUGGAGCGGAUGGAAGUGAGUAUGCCGGUGUAAGUAACGAAUGAGGGUGAGAAUCCCUCACACCGAUUGACUAAGGUUUCCAGGGCAAGGGUCGUCCUCCCUGGGUUAGUCAGGACCUAAGGCGAGGCCGAAAGGCGUAGUCGAUGGACAGCAGGUUGAUAUUCCUGCACUCGUAUAUGUGCGAUGUAAUGACAGAGAAGGUUAAGUUGGCCGGUUAAUGGAUUCCGGUCUAAGCGAGGUAGCUGAACUGCAGGCAAAUCCGUAGUUCAUAAGGCGAAGACGUGAUGGGGAGCGAAUGGAGCAAUCCUAGUAGCGAAGCAACUGAUACCAGCUCUCGAGAAAAGUUGCUAGCUUAAGCAUAUACGACCUGUACCGAGAACGGACACACGUGGUCAAGGAGAGUAUCCUAAGGUGAGCGAGAUAACUGUUGUUAAGGAACUCUGCAAAAUUACUUCGUAAGUUAGCAAGAAGAAGUGCUCUAGAAAUAGAGUCGCAGUGAAGAGGCCCAGGUAACUGUUUAACAAAAACACAGCUCUAUGCUAAGUCGCAAGACGAUGUAUAUGGGGUGACGCCUGCCCAGUGCUGGAAGGUUAAAAGGUGAGGUUAGCGCAAGCGAAGCUUUGAAUUGAAGCCCCAGUAAACGGCGGCCGUAACUAUAACGGUCCUAAGGUAGCGAAAUUCCUUGUCAGGUAAGUUCUGACGCGCACGAAUGGUGUAAUAAUCUGGGCGCUGUCUCGACAGCAGACUCGGUGAAAUCUUAAUACCUGUAAAGAUGCAGGUUACCCGCGACUAGACGGAAAGACCCCAUGGAGCUUUACUAUAGCUUAAUAUUGAGUAAUUGUAGUUCAUGUACAGGAUAGGUGGGAGACGAUGAAGUAGUGGCGUCAGCUGCUAUGGAGUCAACCUUGGGAUACCACUCUUGAAUUAUGAUUAUUCUAACUCACGCCCUACACGGGGUGGAGGACAGUGUUAGGUGGGUAGUUUGACUGGGGCGGUCGCCUCCUAAAGAGUAACGGAGGCGCCCAAAGGUACCCUCAGUAUGGUUGGAAAUCAUAUUUCGAGUGCAAAGGCAUAAGGGUGCUUGACUGCGAGACUUACAAGUCGAGCAGGGACGAAAGUCGGGCUUAGUGAUCCGGCGG
rnacentral:rRNA from 1 species